rnacentral:misc_RNA from 1 species
GUUAUAUUUUGCAUCCCUAGACAACGAUGACUUACUUUACCUUAAGGAACAGAUGGAAGUUGACGAAGAUGUGAACGCCUUCUGCAAGGCAGCAAGAUUUACUAAAAAGUGUUUUAGGAGUCAAGCCUAAGAAGCCGAAAGUUUCUAGAAGGUUUGAUGGGAGUAAUUCCAUCUCAAGUACACAAGUUAUUCUUAGUAUUAAUUAUGAUUCCAAUCAGGAGAAGCAGAAAGAUGUCUUGCCGGCUAAACCAAAUGAUACUGAAAAAGAAACAAAGGUAGAUAAUCCGAUAAAAAUCUCGAUAGCAGCAUAUGAGAGUUCAGAUGAUGAAGAUUGAUUCUGUAUGGAUUUGAUUGAUGAAUGAUUCUUAGAUCAUAGUGUUUAAAUCAUCAAAUAUCCUUAGCAUUUGUAAUGUGGCCAUUUUGAUCGAGGAUCCAUCGCAGAGGCCUAAAUGUUGUUACCGUAAAUUAGCUGACAAGUGAAUAUCGAUAAAUUGUAU